AGUAAAUCCUGUAGAAUCUUCUCAAUCAACAUUUUAUUCUCACGAGUCAAAUAGAUUUAAUACAGAAGUUUAUGCCGCGUAUUUUAGAAACCCUGUACUGACAUGUGGUAUUAUUUUACUUAUACUAUGGAUACUUUUUCAAACGUGUUACUUUGGAAGAUGUAAAUCGGACAAUGAAGAUCGAAAUAUCGCUUCGUAUAUCUGUCAUCUUGUGUUAUAUGCAUGUAAGUGGCAUGUAAACUUGCAAGUCUUACAACGAUUAUUUACAAGACACAGAAAUGCGCGUACGGAUGGAAGUUAUUCAAAUUAUGAAGAUUACUCGGUAUGUGUAUAGGUAGUUAUGUAUAUUUAUACUAUUGUUUUAUAUGUACAUUUAUACUACGACGAGAUGUGACCACAUUUUUUGAAAGUAACGAAACUGAAGUUUAUGAUACAUGCGUGCGAGCCCUAGAUUUGACUAAUUAUGUCAAGUAGAAAUCAAAAAAUUAUAAAUUCGUCGUGUACCAUAGACUUAAUCGCUUUUAACUAUAAUCGAAAAAUUAAAACAUUCUCUACUUUGACUUUGGCAAACUCGCUAUAGCAAAAGCUGUGUUCAUAAUAUUUAUAAGACUUGAUAUGUAAAUCAAGUGCGUGUAAAUUCCUUUCAAAACUAUCUUGUAAUUAAAAAAGACAAAAUAUAUUAGAAUUUAAAAAAUUACAAGUAAUAAGCACACGACGGUGCCACAGGGAUUUACACUGACGUCUAUAAAUUUGACAGUCACGAAUUCUCGACAUUAGUAAAAAUAUUAUACUAUACACACAUUUGGACAAAAAUAUUUAAAUAAUGUAAAGAAUAUAUAUUAAUAAAUAAUUAAACAAGAUACACACAAGCAAGGUAUAUUAUAAUAACGACCAGCGAGGAGAUGCGAUCUUAACAACAAUUACGAUAUAAAGCAUUAAUAUUAGUAAGCAUGUAUUUCCACGUGAGGAAACUUAUCUUCUAAACUUAAUUAAAUUUAUAUUUUGAGAAAUUCAUCUCGGGAUACUGUUCAUGAAUAGUAUCCCGAUUCUCUCAUUACCACGUGUAAGACAGCCCGACGCAUGCUUAUUCGCGGAUACUUAUUUGUUAAUUAAGAUCUGGGUGACUAUUACGAAUUUUGCAAAAUGAUAUAAGAGUUUAGUAUACAACUCAGGUUUACUCUUGCCUGCGAGAGAUGUUACACAA